rnacentral:rRNA from 1 species
AGAGUUUGAUCCUGGCUCAGGAUGAACGCUAGCGACAGGCUUAACACAUGCAAGUCGAGGGGCAGCACAGGUAGCAAUACCGGGUGGCGACCGGCGCACGGGUGAGUAACGCGUAUGCAACUUACCUAUCAGAGGGGGAUAACCCGGCGAAAGUCGGACUAAUACCGCAUGAAGCAGGGGCCCCGCAUGGGGAUAUUUGCUAAAGAUUCAUCGCUGAUAGAUAGGCAUGCGUUCCAUUAGGCAGUUGGCGGGGUAACGGCCCACCAAACCGACGAUGGAUAGGGGUUCUGAGAGGAAGGUCCCCCACAUUGGUACUGAGACACGGACCAAACUCCUACGGGAGGCAGCAGUGAGGAAUAUUGGUCAAUGGCCGAGAGGCUGAACCAGCCAAGUCGCGUGAGGGAUGAAGGUUCUAUGGAUCGUAAACCUCUUUUAUAAGGGAAUAAAGUGCGGGACGUGUCCCGUUUUGUAUGUACCUUAUGAAUAAGGAUCGGCUAACUCCGUGCCAGCAGCCGCGGUAAUACGGAGGAUCCGAGCGUUAUCCGGAUUUAUUGGGUUUAAAGGGAGCGUAGGUGGACUGGUAAGUCAGUUGUGAAAGUUUGCGGCUCAACCGUAAAAUUGCAGUUGAUACUGUCAGUCUUGAGUACAGUAGAGGUGGGCGGAAUUCGUGGUGUAGCGGUGAAAUGCUUAGAUAUCACGAAGAACUCCGAUUGCGAAGGCAGCUCACUGGACUGCAACUGACACUGAUGCUCGAAAGUGUGGGUAUCAAACAGGAUUAGAUACCCUGGUAGUCCACACAGUAAACGAUGAAUACUCGCUGUUUGCGAUAUACAGUAAGCGGCCAAGCGAAAGCAUUAAGUAUUCCACCUGGGGAGUACGCCGGCAACGGUGAAACUCAAAGGAAUUGACGGGGGCCCGCACAAGCGGAGGAACAUGUGGUUUAA